rnacentral:rRNA from 1 species
UGGGGUAAACGGGUGGAGCCCUAAAGGUCGAACGGGGAGAUUCAUAUCCAGUCCGGCUCGGCCGCACCGCGUCGUUGGGAUUUUGGGGACGGCCUUCGGGUCGGCCUCGGGCCCGCGGCGCGGUUUUUGCGUGCUGGCGGGGGAGCGCAAUUCUCCCUUAGUAGGACGUCGCGACCCGUUGGGUGUCGGUCGAAGGCCCGGAUGCGAGCCCGUUCCGCGGCAACGCGGGGCGGAGCCCUGGUUUUUCCCGGCCGACUGCCCGACGGUUUGAACGUGCGGAAAAGGCCCGCGAGUCACAUCGCGCUCGUGCCCCGUGCAAGCGUCCGGUCCAACUCGUCGUACGGACUCGUCCGUCGCGGGUGGCCCGGCGUUGUUGGCGCGGGGAUUUCUCGAGCAGCGGCCUGCUCCGGUUUGCGGCGCUUAAAACAGGGUGGCCCACCCGGCCCGUCUUGAAACACGGACCAAGGAGUCUAACAUGUGCGCGAGUCAUUGGGUACCACGAAACCCAAAGGCGUAUUGAACGAAAAGGCCGAUCCAAUCGGCUGAGGGAAGAUGGAGGCGCGCUCGCGUGCCUCCCGCAUUCCCGGGGCGUCUCGUCCUACUUCCGCUCGUCGGUCGAAGGUGAGGCGCACCAAGAGCGCACACGUUGGGACCCGAAAGAUGGUGAACUAUGCCUGGCCAGGACGAAGUCAGGGGAAACCCUGAUGGAGGUCCGUAGCGAUUCUGACGUGCAAAU